rnacentral:rRNA from 1 species
AAGCGGAUCUCUUAAAGACUGUUCUCAGUUCGGACUGCAGUCUGCAACUCGACUGCACGAAGCUGGAAUCGCUAGUAAUCGCGGAUCAGCACGCCGCGGUGAAUACGUUCCCGGGCCUUGUACACACCGCCCGUCACACCAUGGAAGUCUGCAAUGCCCGAAGCCGGUGGCCUAACCACUUAUGUGGAAGGAGCCGUCUAAGGCAGGGCAGAUGACUGGGGUGAAGUCGUAACAAGGUAUC